rnacentral:rRNA from 1 species
CCUACGGGGGGCAGCAGUGAGGAAUAUUGGUCAAUGGGCGCGAGCCUGAUCCAGCAACGUCGCGUGAAGGAUGAAUGCCCUACGGGUUGUAAACUUCUUUUAUAAAGGAAUAAAGUGAGGCACGUGUGCCUUUUUGUAUGUACUUUAUGAAUAAGGCUCGGCUAACUCCGCGCCAGCAGCCGCGGUAAUACGGAGGUUCCGAGCGUUAUCCGGAUUUAUUGGGUUUAAAGGGAGCGUAGAUGGGUUGUUAAGUCAGUUGUGAAAGUUUGCGGCUCAACCGUGAAAUUGCAAUUGAUACUGGCAGCCUUGAGUGCAGUUGAGGUAAGCGGAAUUCGUGGUGUAGCGGUGAAAUGCGUAGAUAUCACGAAGAACUCCGAUGGCGAAGGCGGCCUACUAAACUGCCACUGACAUUGAUGCUCGAAAGUGUGGGUAUCAAACAGGAUUAGAUACCCCAGUAGUC